CCUCGCAAUUAAACUCUCAACUCCUUUCUUCUGUUGCCUUCUUGCGUUCACAGCUAAUAUCGGUUGAUUUCUUCAAAUAAUGGGCUGGCUAAUUCAAGGUAAACGCACCAUCUACCUCAUUGUAUCUCCUAGAUUUCAAUUUCAUAGCUCUUUCUUUGAUCUGUGGCGGCUGGAUUUGAGCGAUAAGGUUUGAUUGUGGCCGAAUUACAGAUUUGUGUUGCCAUAUAGUCAGUGAGCUCGAUGAGCUCAUUGUCCUCACUCACUUACCAAAAUUCGUUACUACAGAAGGACAAUUUUAUACGGAGGCGCCAUGUACAGACCAACUAGGCAACUGGUUGUUCAUGCCAGCAUUAUUACAGAGUUCAGGUUAUAUGCAAUGAACUGCUUUCAGACUUUGUAAAAGGGUUUGAGCUGAUUAUUCUGUUGAUUGUUUAUGAUUUGUUCACAAGAUUUUUUACCAAAGCAACUUGACAUAUGUGAUGAUCAUUUGGUUGUUUGUACCGCUUCCGAAGACUGGAAAGACCAGAACGAAUGGAUAAGAGCUGCAAGUCGUCAUGGUUUAUCACCUUCACAUCGGUUCUUUAUGUACCAACCAAUAGAGUUUGGUUUGGAUAGGCUGUGGACAUGGGAAGGAACUGUUCAGUGCUAAUACCACUUAGGCUUUUCAAGAAAUUCCUCUUCAUUGCUGUUGUGACCAUCAAACUAUUUGGAAGGGCACAUUUGUAAAAUGACCACCAACCCAUUAGUUUAUUAAAAUGAGAAAGAACGAAGUUUUACAAAAUUUCAUUCAACCAAACAAUGUAUUUGUAUUUCCUCAAUUAGAAUAUAAUUCAUAAUUCCUC
rnacentral:lncRNA from 1 species